rnacentral:rRNA from 1 species
UAAUCCGACCUAGGCUCAUCCACUCGCGCGAGGUCUUGCGAUCCCCCGCUUUCACCGUUAGGUCGUAUGCGGUAUUAGCGUAAGUUUCCCUACGUUAUCCCCCACGACUGGGCAAAUUCCGAUAUAUUCCUCACCCGUCCGCCACUCGUCAGCACCCUUGCGGGCCUGUUACCGUUCGACUUGCAUGUGUUAGGCAUGCCGCCAGCGUUCACUCUGAGCCAGGAUCAAACUCU